rnacentral:rRNA from 1 species
CAGCAGCCACGGGAAAACGUAGGUGGCAAGCGUUGUCCGGAAUUAUUGGGCGUAAAGCGCACGCAGGCGGAUCAGUUAGUCUGUCUUAAAAGUUCGGGGCUUAACCCCGUGAUGGGACGGAAACUGCCAAUCUAGAGUAUCGGAGAGGAAAGUGGAAUUCCUAGUGUAGCGGUGAAAUGCGUAGAUAUUAGGAAGAACACCAGUGGCGAAGGCGACUUUCUGGACGAAAACUGACGCUGAGGCGCGAAAGCCAGGGGAGCGAACGGGAUUAGAUACCCCCGUAGUCCCUGUCUCUUAUACA